ACUCCUUUGACUAUAAAUACCCAUGAUCACCCACACCCACACCCAUAUCCCCAACCGAUCUUAAUAUUAUCUUAGAACUAAUUAAGUGGUUUGUUUGACCAAUGGAAAGUCAAAGCAGAUUGGUUGAAGUUAAAGGCAAAGAAAUACGAAGAGUUGUAAGCCUUCCACCAAGAAGAGGCGAAAUUAAAGCCAAAAUUCUUGGUCAUAUCAUCAAGGAAGUUAAAAUCUCUACAUCAAUGAAGACCCCAAAAUCUCUUUCUUCAUGUUGUUGAUUUUUUUUUUGAGGAUUGAUUGUUUGGAUAUCAUUUUACUUGAUUAUAUCUUACAAGUAGACAAUCUUUUAAUUUGUUAUAUUAAAUUAAGAAACCGGUUGUUUGUUUUCUGGCAGAUAAUCAUGUGUGCCCAAUUAGGAUCGAAAUAAAACUAUAAUGUAAUAUAUCUUAGUACUCAAGAGUCUUAACGUUUUUUCACUAAAUCAUGACUUUAAAAAAAUUAACAUAUAACUUUACUACUACACGUUGUUAUGGCUACCAUUCCUAUGCCAAAAUUUGGAGUUCUAAAAAAGAAUUAAAUUGGUAAAUCCCUAUCCCUGUCUAAUAAAAGAGUCUUGAUUUUGCCUCAUGUCACUUCCACAUCCAUAUUCCUUCAAACUGAAGUGACCAUAAUGCCCUUAUUUUGUUUAAAUUUCGUAGACAAAUAAUUUUCCACCGAUUUCAUUUAAGAUUAACAUAGUCGUGGUUGUCGCUGAAACCCCUACAUCAAAAAAAAACAUCGUCGUUUCCCUCUCUUCCCUUCCGCGCUUCUCCGUUUACGGAAUGAAGCAGCGACCAAUGUUGUUUCCUCAAAGAUUUGAAGCGGAUACAUCGAAGACAGGUUAACCUCGCUAUGUUGCUGAUAGUGUCAUGUUAGAUCUCUAUGUUGUUUGUAAGAUGGCAUUUUGUGGCAUGUUGUUUCUAGAAUCAGGUUAAAAUGUUUGGUGACAUUAAGUAAAAUGGGAGGAGCAUGAUUGGAUGACCCUACAAGGAAUCAAACAUCCUCUUACAUUUACAGGAGUUGAGGAAAGAUUGAAACUUUGGAAGUGCUCAAAAUAGACCCUUUGGUUUGUUAUGAAGUUCGCGAAAUCAUUCUUGCCAAGUAGUGUAGUGGUUUCAAAUGUGCCUACCGAGCAUAUUUUUGGGUUAGAUAAUUAAAUUCUCAAGCGUGUGGUGUUGGUUUUAAAAGUGAUUAAGGUUUAAUUUUUUAUUAUUAAAUUUUCUUGUUGUCAGAAUUUUAUUUAAUGGGCAUGGUAGAGUUUUAGAUGAAUAAAAGUUUGUGGUGGGAUCAUAAGUGGCUGCUUUUUUGGCAAUUGAGAUUAAACUGUGAAUGUUUAAAACAACCGAGAAAUAUACUAUCUUUGAAUGUGGUUUUA